AACAACUUCAAUGGAUCACCA
rnacentral:misc_RNA from 1 species